ACCGGGCUGCUCCAAAUGAUUUUCGAGCUUCAUUAUCAGCCGACUUUCUACCGUGAUUGGCUACCCUCUGAAUCUCUUCCGGACUUCAUCAAUGUCCGAGCUUCUCCAACAGCAGGAUGUCGAUAGUAAUCAGACUCCAUCCAAGUUUCUACGAUGGUCAACCGCCUUCCGAAUUUCAUCUGAGCUCCUACAAGAGUCGGACUCCAUCCGAACUUCUACAAUGGAUGGAUCACAGACGAACUCUUACAAUGGACAGGCUCCACCAGCAGGAUCUC
rnacentral:lncRNA from 1 species